rnacentral:rRNA from 1 species
UACGUAGGGGGCAAGCGUUGUCCGGAAUCAUUGGGCGUAAAGAGCGUGUAGGCGGCUUGGUAAGUCCGCUGUGAAAGUCCAGGGCUCAACCCUGGAAUGCCGGUGGAAACUGUCAAGCUUGAGUCCGGAAGAGGCGAGUGGAAUUCCUGGUGUAGCGGUGAAAUGCGCAGAUAUCAGGAGGAACACCAAUGGCGAAGGCAGCUCGCUGGGACGGUACUGACGCUGAGACGCGAAAGCGUGGGGAGCAAACCGG